GACAGGAGGGGGCAAGCGUUGCUCGGAAUUACUGGGCGUAAAGGGCGCGUAGGCGGAAUGGCAAGUCGGUCGUGAAAUCCUUCGGCUCAACCGAAGAACGUCGAUCGAACUGCCGUUCUUGAGGAUUGCAGAGGAGACUGGAAUUCCCGGUGUAGCGGUGAAAUGGCGUAGAUAUCUGAGGAACACCGGUGGCGGAAGGCGGCAUCCUGGACCGGUAUUGACGCGUGAGGCGC
rnacentral:rRNA from 1 species